rnacentral:rRNA from 1 species
CCUCAAAUCAGGUAGGACUACCCGCUGAACUUAAGCAUAUCAAUAAGCGGAGGAAAAGAAACUAACAAGGAUUCCCCUAGUAACUGCGAGUGAAGCGGGAAGAGCUCAAAUUUAAAAUCUGGCAGUCUCUGGCUGUCCGAGUUGUAAACUAGAGAAGUGUUAUCCGUGCUGGACCAUGUAUAAGUCUCCUGGAACGGAGCGUCACAGAGGGUGAGAAUCCCGUCUUUGACAUGGACUACCAGUGCAUUGUGAUGCGCUCUCAAAGAGUCGAGUUGUUUGGGAAUGCAGCUCAAAAUGGGUGGUAAAUUCCAUCUAAAGCUAAAUAUUGGCGAGAGACCGAUAGCGAACAAGUACCGUGAGGGAAAGAUGAAAAGAACUUUGGAAAGAGAGUUAAACAGUACGUGAAAUUGUUGAAAGGGAAACGCUUGAAGUCAGUCGCAUUGGCUGGGGAUCAACCUUGCACUUGUGAGGUGUACUCUCUAGUCAAUGGGUCAGCAUCAAUUUUGACUGCUGGAAAAAGGUCAGGGGAAUGUGGCAUCUCCGGAUGUGUUAUAGCCCCUAAUCAUAUACAGUGGUUGGGAUUGAGGAACUCAGCACGCCGCAAGGCUGGGUAUCUACCACGUUCGUGCUUAGGAUGCUGGCAUAAU